UAACGUCUUUUGGAUUCAAGUUGUUAAAUGUGGUACUAAUAGUUGACCCUUUUUCCUUGACAUUCGAUGGCUACAUACGGAUAACCGUAAUCAUAAAUUUAUUAUUAAGGAAAUAGAACAUGGCAACAGGUACUGUAAAAUGGUUUAACGACGCUAAAGGGUUUGGUUUUAUUACUCCAGACAACGGUGGAGAAGAUUUAUUUGCACACUUUUCUGCAAUCAAUGCUAAUGGCUUCAAGUCAUUACGCGAGGCACAGCGUGUGACCUUCGACGUCACGACCGGCCCCAAAGGUAAGCAGGCAUCAAAUAUUGUGCCUCAAUAAGUUCGAGCACAAGUAAGCCACAUACCCCGGUUAACCGGGGUAUUUUUU
rnacentral:sRNA from 1 species